AGCAAAAGGCAUAAAAGACUAGAUGAAGUUCUUCCCUUCCUGGAGUUUGUGGCAUGAUCUCUUCUCUCACAUGACUCUGAGGCAAUCCUUCCCAUAAAGAGAGACUGAGGAGGAGCUUCUUCCCGCAGGCGAUAAGGACGAUGUUUCAAAAAUAAGGUUGCCAGCUAAGCAGAGAACAUGGAAGG